AGUCAAUAGAUACCCGGGUAGUCCACGCCGUAAACGAUGAGUACUAGGUGUAGGAGGUAUCGACUCCUUCUGUGCCGCAGUUAAACACAAUAAGUACUCCGCCUGGGAAGUACGGUCGCAAGAUUAAAACUCAAAGGAAUUGACGGGGUCCGGCACAAGCAGCGGAGCAUGUGGUUUAAUUCGAAGCAACGCGAAGAACCUUAACCUAGACUUGACAUCUCCUGAAUAGUGUAGAGAUACAUGAAGCCCUUCGGGGUCGAGGAAGACAGGUGGUGCAUGGUUGUCGUCAGCUCGUGUCGUGAGAU
rnacentral:rRNA from 1 species